rnacentral:rRNA from 1 species
GAUGAACGCUGGCGGCGUGCCUAAUACAUGCCAGUCGAGCGAACAGACGAGGAGCUUGCUCCUCUGACGUUAGCGGCGGACGGGUGAGUAACACGUGGAUAACCUACCUAUAAGACUGGGAUAACUUCGGGAAACCGGAGCUAAUACCGGAUAAUAUAUUGAACCGCAUGGUUCAAUAGUGAAAGACGGUUUUGCUGUCACUUAUAGAUGGAUCCGCGCCGCAUUAGCUAGUUGGUAAGGUAACGGCUUACCAAGGCAACGAUGCGUAGCCGACCUGAGAGGGUGAGGGGCCACACUGGAAAUGAGACACGGUGAAGACUCAUACGGGAGGAAGCAGGAGGGAAUAGUGAGCAAGGGGCGAAGGCGUGACGGAGCAAAGCAGCGGGAGGGAAGAAGGUAUUAGGAUCGUAAAACUCGGUUAUGAGGGAAGAACAAAAGUGUAAGGAAAGAUGAAGGUCUGGACGGGACAUAAUCAGAAAGCCAAGGCUAACUACGUG